GCCAGCAUGGCAUAGUGGUAUGAGUGUCAGACUAUGACUCUAGAGAUCAGGGUUCGAAUCCCAGCUUGGCC